rnacentral:rRNA from 1 species
UACGUAGGGCGCAAGCGUUGUCCGGAAUUAUUGGGCGUAAAGAGCUCGUAGGCGGCUUGUCGCGUCGGAUGUGAAAGUCCGGGACUCAACUCCGGAUCUGCGGUGGGUACGGGCAGACUAGAGUGAUGUAGGGGAGACUGGAAUUCCUGAUGUAGCGGUGAAAUGCGCAGAUAUCAGGAGGAACACCGAUGGCGAAGGCAGGUCUCUGGGCAUUAACUGACGCUGAGGAGCGAAAGCAUGGGGAGCGAACAGG